CGGCGCGGGCGGAGGCGCGGCGCGGCCUGACGUAACCGGGCGCUCGGCCCCGCCGAACGCGGCUGACGCUGCGCGGCCAGAGAGCAGGCCCCGCCGCCGCCUGGGCUUGGAACGCAGCGCGCGCGGCCAUGGCCUCCGGCGCCGCAGCUAAGCGGGCGCAGGGCGAGCGGGCGGCGGGACGGCAGCCCCGGCCCCAGCGCGGGGCUGACCGUGUGCCCCCUCGUCUUGUCCCACAGAGGCGGACCCUCGACAGAGGCUGCUGCGCACCGUCAAGAAGGAGGAGGAGAUAAGAAUGCUGAGGAAGACUCUAUAACCAGGAAGGAACAGCAAAGUCAGCAAUGGAAGCAAAGGAAGAUGGUGUUGGUAUUAUUGAAAAUGUGCCACCAGAGCAAACAGUUAAUGACAGUGUGACUUCUGCUGGUGGAGUGCAUAAAAAUUGCAGAAGUGAUAUGAUGUCAGCAUUAGAAUUAGGAGAAGAGGAAGAUGUAGAAUCACCUUCUCUUCCUGAGUUGCAAGAAGCAGAGGAUCGACAUGCAGAGGCCAUAAGACAUGCUGAGGAGAUGAAAGAUCAUAUGCAAAAGUAGAAUUCUACCCUCAGAGAAAAUAGCGCUAAAAGUUCAACAUGCCAGAUGGGAAGAAACCAUUAAACAGCAAGUGGCCCAAAUUCAAGAUCUUCAGAGCAACUUGUUAAGGAUAAGUUUGAGGAACUUCAGCGGGGGGCUGGAUUGCAGGCACUGUCGCUGAAGGGGAAAAGGGUUCUUGGAGCCAUUUUUCAAGACCAGGUGGUGAAUACCCGACAGUACUUGGAACAUGUGAAAGACUCCACAACAGGAAUGCAAGGUAGAGUGGUGAAGCUAUUCACCAACCAUUUCCGAGUGACCUCUCGCCCUCAACUCCUCACGUAUAAGUACAACAUUGAUUACAUGCCAGAGGUUGAAGAUGGAAAAGUUCGUACAGAUUUGCUCUGCCAGCAUAAACAUGUAAUUGGAGAGUGUCCCACAUUAGAUGGGAACUCUUUAUUACUGCCUCAUAAACUACAAAAGCAGGAAUUUUGAAGAUGAUGGAUUUGAAGCAAGUUGGUCGCAACUAUUACAACGAGAAUGAGGCCACGGAGUUCCUCAAUCACCAGACAUUUUAAGCUGAAGAGCGUGGAUGUAAAGCUGCUUGGCCAGCAUCAUCUUAGGAGUCCUCGACUUUAUUCUUGCUUCCCAAUUUCAAAAUUUACGACAAAGCUCUCGGAAUCAGGACAGUGGGAUACUGCAAGAGUUUCAAGACCGCUUUCUUGGGGAAGGAAUACUCGUUUCCUCAAAUAUUGCUGGGACCACUGGAUAUCCACCUGGCCAUUCCUCACAGAAGAUACAAAAUUAACUCCAAUUUAUCCCCCAAAUUAACUAAAAAUAGACCUAAAGGUAUAACAAUAGAACCUAUCGAGUGGAUACUAUUAAUUGGGAGGAGACUCCCAGAAGUACGUUUAAGAAAUCAGGUGGUGAGGAAAUCACCUUUGUAGACUACCAGAAGGAGAAAAAUCCUGGAAUCGAUCGAUGAGCCCUUAGAAGGAAAGUACCAUCCUGGCCUUCAAGAAAGAUUUCAUAAUGCUGUAAAGAAGGACCACAGAACUCCUGUUUAGAUGCAGAAGUUGAUGUUGGAGGAGGAGAUCCUUCUAGGAUGUUGCAUGGCAGCUAUGGGAAAUAAGAGGCGUGUUUCCCAAAGUUUUUGACAGGAAGAAUAGCUCGUCCAAAGGUUUUGAUAGAUGAGGCCCUAAAAGGAUGCCAUGAUUCUACACACAUGUAGACACCUGCACAAGCUUGGGCCUGAAGACUCUAGAACCAGGAAAAUGGGGGUGAAUCCCAGCUGUCUUUCAAAUAACUAAAGACUACUCUAAGGGUGAAAAAAAACCUGUUAGCGUCACGUGUGGCUGUGGCCGUGGAGCGUCCCCCUACAGGGUUAUCGGAGUGUGCCGGCAGCCGCCAGCCCCACGCUGGCUCAGGAAAGCACCCCUCUGCCCUUCUCACAGCCUCAGGCAGCUUUAGGGUCUCAGAGCUGGUGGCCAUGACUGUCUUGUCCCAGGGGAGCAACUACCAGACCCGCCCCCUGCACAGGGGGCCCAGGCCGUGUCGUGUCGCCAGUGCAGGGGGCUCACGACCACUGGGCCUGCUUUCGGCUGUUCGGGCCCCUUGGUGCGACUCAGCUCCGCUGGGCCCUCAGCCUCACCCUCCCCGGCUGGGCACGUCUGGCCACAUCCAGCCCUGUGGCUCCUCCCCGGGUAUAUGCCCUUUCCUGGCAAUGGCACAUCUCCCACCCACAAAGAGGGACGCACCUAUUUCCAGUCGGCGUGGCCCAGUCCACCCCUCCCCGACUCACGCCGCUACACUGGACGUGGCUCCCCGUGCCAGCACCGCACUGGGGCCAGCUAGCUGCCCCUUCCUGGUCUUUUGUGGCCCCAGCCCGUGAGCAGAGAUCGGCUGACCUCCGAUCCAGGGGACCUUCCUGUGUGCCUCAGUCUCUGGCCCCUUCUUGUAACGUUAGACAAUGCCUCCUUCUGAAGACAUCUCGUAGAAACGACAAGAUCCAAAAGCCAUGUGAAGGCAGAGGUCCUCAGACACCCCGGCUUCCACGAACCGCGAUCGGGAAACCAACUGGAAGCGUCAGCUUGGCCCCUGGGCUGCAGCCUGGGCGUCAUGGGAACGGGCAGCUGAGGGCUGGCCCUCAGAGGGACCACCAGCCUUGGUUCUCAGAGGAACCCUUAGCCGAGCCCCUGAGGGACCAUUCCUAGCUGGACUAGUCCUCAGGGGAUGCGUCAGCAGUACUGCUGGUCCCUGGGGGAGUUUGAGGGCCCAAUGGGGGGACUAAUUUCCCUUGAUGCCUCCUGGGGCCCUCCCGUGGCGCCGAUGGGAACAGUGGGCCCAGAGUGGAGGGAGCGACGGUACCCGUAGCGGUCAGUGGACAGGCUGCUUCUGGUCUCCAGGGAACUCCUGAGGGUGAGAGAAGUGAGACAGGGUUACCGGUGACCCCCGACACACAACAAAUGCUCCCGGGGGCCGUGCCGGCUCAGGCCACACUGGGUGGUCCCAGGACAGGUCCUGGGGUGGGUGAGCAGCCCCGGGAAGGGUUUGGUGCCCACAUGCAAGAAACCAUGUGCUUUGUCGCCCUCUGUCUCUCUCCCACAGCCCCGCUCAGAGAGCUCAGUUACAAAGCAUCUUUAGCAGCAUCAAGUCCAGCUGCUCUCUGUUCGCUGGGGAAGCCAAGGCCCGAGGUCCCCCAGGGAGUCUCCCAGGCCGAGGCUCUUUGUAGUCAGAGACCCAACUGGGGCCUUGGCCUGCUAGUGUGCAGCUCUGCUCAUGGCCCCCCCCCCACCCCCGCCACUGACAAACCCUUGCCACGCAGAAGCUGGCCCCUGCGUCUGCACCCUCAUCUCAUCCUACCCCUUUUUACAGAAGUCGCUUGUUCAGGAUUCUCAGCCGGCGAGCAGAGCCAGAUUUGACCCCAGGUCCUGCUGUGAACACUGCCCAAGGCCACAAUACACUCCUUGCCCCCGUGGACACACCUCCAACCAACCUGCCUCCUUGCUUGUUCCUGCAACAUGUUCCUGCCCCAGGGCCUUUGCACUUGUUCCCUUUACUUAGGAUGCUCAGUCCCCAUCACUCACUUGCCAGAGAGGCCUUUCCUUGGUGUCUAUAGUGGCCCCAGCCCCUUAUGCUCUCCACUCAUCACUCAGUUUUAUUUCUUUCAGAGCCCUAGGUAAAAAGGGCUAAGCCAUUUAUCUGUGUGCUUGUUCACUGCCUUUUGGGUGUCCCUCCCCAAAGGCAGGGCCUUGUGUGCCCUGGACAUUUUUGGCUCCACUAAGGGCAGGUGGGUGCAGUCAGAUGAGAGGAGGGGGCCCUGCCUGAGGUCCCACAGCAACCUGCAAGGCAGCCUCUUAGCCCCCAUUGUGGGUGAGGAAACUGAGGCUCAGAGGGGUUAGCACCAUGCACAGAGUCUAACAGCUCUGAGAGGCUGGGCUGGGAUUGGGACUCAGGUCUGUCCGGCCUGGGACCACUGUGUUCUGUCCCCAAAGAGGCCUCCCGGCCGAGUCCUUGCAGACCACAGGCCAGGCCUACGAUCUCCAUGCCCAGAGCCCAGAGGCCCGGCAAAGAGACUUGAUGUCCAGCUUUGGAUCUGGCCCCAGAGACAGCCCAACCUGAGGUCAGGGCCCGUUCCACCCUUGACUCACCAUGGAUUUGGUACAAGUCCCUUCACCCCUCUGUGCCUCAGUUUCCACAUUUGCAAAAGGAUGGUAAGUAACAGUAAGUCACUCACAGGGGGAAGUAAUGGAUGUGAAAUGACUGUGGAGAAAGAAACAGGAGCCUCUGUUUGCUACGCACGGUGGCAUGGCCAGUGUCUGAGGCCUUUGGGGUCUUAGGGUGUGCCUGUCACUACUCGGUGGCCUGGCUCCCCCUGCCCUGUCCCUGCCUUUCCAGGCAGCGGCUGCUAUGACAGCCGACACAGCCGUGGAGGCACUGUCCCUGGACUCCACCUCUCCUCCCACGCCAGGCCGCCUUUCCUCAUGGGACACCACCUCUCCCCACUGGGGUCCCCUGCACACCUCUCCCCCACCCAAUGUCUCAGAAGCCCAGGUCCCCUGCUUCCCGUGGGCCUGUGCUUGGUGCUUGGGCUUUGCCAUUCUGAGCCAAUGCUGGGUGCUUACCACGGGUCAUCCGAACUUCGGCCUCGGUUUACCUACUUGUCCUUACCACAGCCUUGAUGGAAACUCUCCCUGCUGGAGGCUGACCCCCCGCCCCUUCCACAUCCCCACUUCCGGUCCAACGGAAGCAUCGCUGGUUUGCUGGGUCCCGUAUUCAGCAGAUUAGCUUCCCCAGAACCAAGCCCUGCCCCAGGCUCCGCCUCCUUCUCCAUCCCUGGCUGAAGAGGCCAAGGACAAGCUUCCCUCCCCCCUGGAGACAGAGCCGCCCCAGGGCCUUGCACUGUGCCUGUGUCAACAGCGCCUUGCCAGAGCCCAACGAGAAAAGGGGACGUAAAGGACGGUGUCAGGAUGCCACCCCGUCACUGUCCCAGACUGUUUGCUGUCCUGUGCCUGCCCCAGUGAGCGAUGGCUUUUCUGGGUGGGAGAGAGGGUGGGGCUGGCGAGGCAGGCCUCACCUCCCUGCCACGCCAGGACCCUCACUGGCAGAGGCCAGCAAUUCCUGCCUUUGGGAAGCCCCUAGUCCAGACAAGGGGACCCGGCCCUCAACGCCUGUCGCCCAGUGACUGGCCUCUCCAGUCAGGUGAGGAGAUACCAGUACGAGAGCCCCCUAGUGCCAGGUGCAUUUCUCAUCUAACCCUUGCAUAAACCUCAUGAGGCACAAGGAAUUUACAAACGCUACCAGUGCAGCUCAGAGGCACUCUAUACCCGGAACACCACUCCACCCCCUGCCUCUUUAUCCCGCAGCAAACUCCUAUUCACCCUGCAAAACUUUGCUCAAAUGUCAACUCCUUGGUGCAGCCUUCUUUGCCCACCCUGACCCCCCACGCAGACUACCGUCUCCCGUCCUUCCUCCUUUCCCCUCUCCCUCCUUCCCUCCCUUCCUUCUCUCUCCCACUCCCCCAAUGACCAUGAGUAUAUUUUGAGCAGUUCCUGUGUGCUACGAGGGAGGCGUUGCGGUUAACACUUUAUGGCGAUCAACUCAUUCAGUCUUCGCCGGAGCCCAGGAGGGAGGUACAGUGACACUCUGCUAUAUUGUGACACACGGGUCCAAGAUGUUGAAGGGUGCAUGAGAUUUUCCAAGCAGAUAGUACUGUCACUGAUGUAUGCAUGUGAAGAUGGGGACUGUCUGUUGAGCACCACCUGCCCCCACAGGACUGAGGGGCCCUAAUAGCCAUGCAGGGCUGACCUGGCCUGCCGUGGCCCAACCCUAAACCCUGUGGCGGGUGGUGACCUCUGCUUGGGCUCUCCACUACUCCCCACCCUCUCUGCCUAUCCCUGGGGUCCCCUCGGUGGCCUGAGCCCCUUGGCGGUUCCCUUCCUGCUGUCUCACUGACCCUCCAUCAGCCCAGUGAGGACUGGCUCUAGGAGGAGAACCAGCCUCUGCCAUGCACCCUGCUGGGUCCAUGCAGCUUUGGAGUCACAGAUGGAGGCCCGUUCCGCUCACCACUGUCUGCUGCUCAGCCCAGCGGUCAACAGGAAAGGUUUGGGCCCGCGCAGGACAGGCCAAGGUUGAGGGUGCUCGGAGAACACGAGAGACCGCCUGGCUGAGCAUACUGAGCAUACCUGGCUUUGGAACCAACCACCUGAGCUCACACCCCAGUCCAACCUUGGGGGCGACAGAAACUCGAAGCCUCGACCUCCUCCUCCGGUGAUAAUAAGAGCUCCACCUCACACGGAUGAUGCGAGAUGAGGUGGUCAGCACAGAGCCCGAUGCAGGGCUUAAACCUAUGAACCGUGAGAUCAUGACCUGAGCCGAAUCUGGAUGCUUAACUGACCGAGCCACCCAGCCACCCUAUUGGUUUAUACAUUUAAAGCACUUAAGACAAUGCCAGAUACAGAAUCAGCAUUCCAUAAAUGCCAGCUAUCAUUAGUAUAGAUAGGAUUCAAAAGAUUUGCGUAUUACUCAAUAUAUCUUAUGUUAUAUAACAUACGAUAUAUAAUAUAUUAAUGCCUCACACCAACAGUAUAGAAGUGAAAUAUUAAUGUGUUACAUUAACAUUGAUUCUACAUUAGUAGAUAUUUGUGUUAUUCACAUAUAUAAAAUCCUCAUUUUAUAUGCAGGGAAACUGAGAGGUGGUUUCUUCAAUGCCACCAGUCCUACGUGAGGACUGGUGCUGCUGUACCUCCCCCUGCUCAGGGGCCCCAGGAUCUUUGGGGGACCCUGGACCAGGUUCAUGGACACAGGGCUCUCAGUCAGCCAGGCAGGGCUCCAGCUCCUCUUCUGGUCUCCAGUUCUAGCUCAGGGCAUAAAUAGCCCAUUCCGGCCACCCUGGACAAGGAAGACCGCCCCGGGACAGUCCUUCCACUGAAUCCCCCACCCCCAGCCCUCCUUUAUGGGGCUCCUGGGGAGGCCACUUCCUUUUCCUUCAGAAUUAACUGGAUGCUCCAGUCUCCCCUGGCACAGCUUCUAAACAGCACCCAACUAUUUACACAAAGUUCAGGAACAGGAAAAACUCCUCUGUGUGUUGUAAGAAGUCAGGGGAGGGCUCCCCUGGGGGAUGGGCCAAGACUGGCAGGGCCCCAGGGGGGCCCCAGGGGGCUUGAUCAUGAGUGGGGUUCUAGAGGGGGCCUGGGUCAUCUUGGUUUUGGGGCCUUGGUGCUGAUUACAUGAGU